rnacentral:lncRNA from 1 species
CUAGUGGCGUGAGACUUGUAAUUGAGGACUAUCCAUAUGCUGCGGACGGCCUCCUCAUAUGGUCUGCCAUAAAAGAAUGGGUAGAAUCCUAUGUGGAACACUACUACUCCGAGCCAAAUUCUGUCACAUCCGAUGUUGAGCUCCAAGACUGGUGGAGUGAGAUCAAGAAUAAGGGUCACUACGACAAGCGGAACGAGCCAUGGUGGCCUAAACUUAAAACCAAAGAGGACUUAUCCGGUAUACUUACAACAAUGAUUUGGGUCGCUUCAGGUCAACAUGCAGCCAUCAACUUUGGCCAGUACCCGUUUGGUGGUUAUGUGCCAAACCGUCCUACCCUUAUGAGAAAACUCAUUCCACAAGAAGACGACCCUGAUUAUGAGAAAUUUAUUUCUAACC